AUCUAUAUUUAGAACAUGGCUUUAUGGUUGAGUUUAUCUUAUAUUUGUCUGCCUAUUGCUCGUUGUGACAGCCAGAGUCAAAGAAUGUUAGUAUAAUACUUUAUUCAGAAGAUUGAGAUUAGCUGGAGAAGUAGGCAUAAUUAUUUUUCUCAAUCCUGGACAAAGCCUUCUCAACUUAAAGAAGCAUCCAAACAAGUACACAUCUCCUCUCAAAUCAUGAAACGGCAUGCCCAAAUUUGCUCCAAAGUGUUCCCUAAUGAUGCUUCGCACUGGUAAAUAUAAUAAGAGAGAGCACUUAGCUACAAUGAGGUCUACUUGCCGUGUGUGAUGGGUCCACCAAAAUAGGCCACAUUACAUCAUGCACAGCUUGGGAAUGUGGAACUUUUCCAAAGGGCCACUCUGACCCCUGCGUGACGCUUGGACCUUCUUGGAGACCAAGUGCUUGUUGCCCACAAAUUUCCACCUUAGUUAGCAAUAUUUAAUUUAAAAAGUAAGGGACUAUAUCAUCCUUUCAUUAGGAUUAACUUAUCCAAUGUUUUGGGGGCCAUGAUUCAAAGAUGGAUAGAAAGAAUUUUUUAAAUAUGAGUCUCUCGGUAUACUUGUAGGAAGGAAACCCUAGUACAUUUCUUUGUUCUUGGUUAUCCUUCUUCUUGCAGAAAUUGGAUAUCAGAGUUAUGCAGACCCAUUUGAAGUCCUAUUUUCUGGUUGCAAGGCCCGCCCUCUAUCCCCCUUGUCUUGUUGAUUGGAGAUUGGAGUGGAGAUUCUAUAAAUUUUCUUUAGAAGAAAGAUAGUUGGAGCACUGCACUUAUCUUU